rnacentral:rRNA from 1 species
AUUGAACGCUGGCGGGAGGCCUUACACAUGCAAGUCGAACGAGUGGCGGACGGGUGAGUAAUAUCUGGGAAACUGCCCAGUGGAGGGGGAUAACUACUGGAAACGGUAGCUAAUACCGCAUACUAUUGGCUGUGCCCAUAUGGGAUUAGCUCGUAGGUGGGGUAAAGGCUCACCUAGGCGACGAUCCCUAGCUGGUAUGAGAGGAUGACCAGCAACACUGGGACUGAGACACGGUCCAGACUCCUACGGGAGGCAGCAGUGGGGAAUAUUGCACAAUGGGCGCAAGCCUGAUGCAGCCAUGCCGCGUGUAUGAAGAAGGCCUUCGGGUUGUAAAGUACUUUCGGCGGGGAGGCGUUAUCCGCAGAAGAAGCACCGGCUAACUCCGUGCCAGCAGCCGCGGUAAUUC